UGGGGUCUUACAGUAUGGAUAAUGGAAAAUGAAUAUAGACUUGAAAUUAAAUGGAAUUAAAGUAAAUGACUUGAAAUUAAAUGUUAGUAGUUAAUGAGUUAGAAGUUAGUAUUGUUUUUCUUUUUCUUUUUUUGUUUUAAGUCAUUCUUUGGAGAACACUCAAUCCACUUAUCACAAGCAUGGAUCCUUGAGCCAAGACAUCUUCCAAAGGAAGGAAAAAAGGCCAAGUUUCCACAGAAUACCAUGAAAGAGGGGAGACUUAC
rnacentral:lncRNA from 1 species